AGAGCAACCAUAACCGUUCAUGGGUUUGGUAAAUUCCUGUCGGAACGUUUAUUCGAAAAGCUAGUAUACCGCAUCGUUACUGUCAGAGAUAAAUCUUAAAAACGUCGGAUGCAUUAAUGGUCAAGGAGAUAGUAUAAAACAUUUUGAUCUUUCGCAUCUUUAGAUUAACAUAUAGGUAUAGAUUAAUUAUCAAUUCUUUUGGAAUUCCUAGGGCUUACUCAUAAUUUCUUCUUUAAAAAAUCGAUGUGACAUUGUGAAUACAUAAACCGUCAAUAAUCUACUGCUAA